GAUGAACGCUGGCGGCGUGCCUAAUACAUGCAAGUCGAGCGAACGGACGAGAAGCUUGCUUCUCUGAUGUUAGCGGCGGACGGGUGAGUAACACGUGGAUAACCUACCUAUAAGACUGGGAUAACUUCGGGAAACCGGAGCUAAUACCGGAUAAUAUUUUGAACCGCAGGGUUCAAAAGUGAAAGACGGUCUUGCUGUCACUGAUAGAUGGAUCCGCGCUGCAUUAGCUAGUUGGUAAGGUAACGGCUGACCAAGGCAACGAUGCAUAGCCGACCUGAGAGGGUGAUCGGCCACACUGGAACUGAGACACGGUCCAGACUCCUACGGGAGGCAGCAGUAGGGAAUCUUCCGCAAUGGGCGAAAGCCUGACGGAGCAACGCCGCGUGAGUGAUGAAGGUCUUCGGAUCGUAAAACUCUGUUAUUAGGGAAGAACAUAUGUGUAAGUAACUGUGCACAUCUUGACGGUACCUAAACAGAAAGCCACGGCUAACUACGUG
rnacentral:rRNA from 1 species